rnacentral:rRNA from 1 species
CCUACGGGAGGCAGCAGUGAGGAAUAUUGGUCAAUGGGCUUACGCCUGAACCAGCCAAGUCGCGUGAGGGAUGAAGGUUCUAUGGAUCGUAAACCUCUUUUAUAAGGGAAUAAAGUGUGGGACGUGUCCUGUUUUGUAUGUACCUUAUGAAUAAGGAUCGGCUAACUCCGUGCCAGCAGCCGCGGUAAUACGGAGGAUCCGAGCGUUAUCCGGAUUUAUUGGGUUUAAAGGGUGCGUAGGCGGCCUUUUAAGUCAGUGGUGAAAGUCUGUGGCUCAACCAUAGAAGUGCCGUGGAAACUGGGAGGCUUGAGUAUGUUUGAGGCAGGCGGAAUGCGUGGUGUAGCGGUGAAAUGCUUAGAUAUCACGCAGAACCCCGAUUGCGAAGGCAGCCUGCCAAGCCAUGACUGACGCUGAUGCACGAAAGCGUGGGGAUCAAACAGGAUUAGAUACCCCUGUAGUC